rnacentral:lncRNA from 1 species
CAGUUGAGACGAUGGACAGGGAGCCAGCCAGAAACAUUUCUUAAAUCUCCGCCUUUGCCUCUUUCAAACUGUAUGCCCUAGGUGGUAUGGCAGAGUUCCAGGCCCAGCGGCUGCUCCCUGCACCUGCCCCCUCCACAUCCAAUUUCUUUGCAAUGGCCUAAAAAGCUAACCAAGCUGAAAUAGCUCAUUCCAAGGCUCUCAAACUCCGGCACCAUUAUUCAGUGUUUGCAGAGGCCUAGCCUCAUCCCUGCCACUCACCACUUCCCAUCUGUUGGGAGCACUUGGCUGCGGUAUCUUCGAUGCUCACCGUCCCGUUGGGCUUGAGGACAAGAAAGACCACCUUACGGGAGGGAGGGAGGAAGGAAUUAUGUUAGCUCAUGAUUCCAGAAGAUUCAGUUUGUGAUCAGCUGGUUCCACUAUUCCUGAGCCUUUGUUGAGGCAGAAGCAUCAUGCUGUGCGAGUACAGACAGGGCCCUGUGUAAGCCCUGCUGGCCCCAGACUCAUUACGCAGUGAUGGCUUUGAAUUUCUGAUCCUCGUGGCUCCACCCCCUGAGUGCUGGGAUUACAGGCACAUGUCACCACAAGUUUUUCAAGGCCUGGGAUCAAACUGGGAGUUCGUGAUGUCAGAGGUGUGUAGUCCAAGAGCAAAAAAACGCAAUGGUUUGGGGCAAAUGAUGCUUGAGAUAGGCGUCUACAUUGGAUCAGAACCUGCCUAGCUUCAUAGGGGAUAAAAAUGAUGGUGCCCUUUGGCUCUCUUUCUAACCUUCCUUAACAUCUACCGAGACCAAGUAUGACAGCCAAUCUUGGUUUUCAACAUGAUUAAACCUGAAAUCAAAUGAAACCCAAGCAACUGGACAAGUCUGUGAAGGAUUGCACUGAAUGGGUCAUUUGAGGCUGGAAGGUUCACCCUAAAUCUGAGUCACACCUUCUGAUGGCAAGGCAUAGAAAAAGACAAGGGGGAAGGAAGCAUCUGUCUUUGCCUACUUGUUUUCACUAUGGCUGGCAAGUUCAUCUGCUCUGUUUCAGUCAUUCCUUUGCUGGUGUUUGAGACCACUGCUUUGGGAUUCUAACAUAGACUGAAGACUGGUUGCUCUCUAGGACACUCCUGGGACUCCAGGAACAGAUCUGGAUUGCUGAGAUAUCCAGUCUCAUGAACUGAACAACACCCAGACCCAAACCUUGGCAUUCCUGGAGGACUUGGGCUGCAACCUGUAAGCCACUCUAAUAAAGAAUAUUUAUAUAAACUGU